CAUUGCUUUAUUUUGCAUUUUGAGCUUUUGAUAAUAUUUGUCUGCCCAGUGUUGUGUGCACUUUGUACCCAAAGCUUGAACUCAAAGUGAUUAUACUCUGAAAAGUUCUUGUGUAAAAACAGUACCUUUUACAUGAAAGAGUGGUUCCUCAUGCAUUCAGUAACAUGCUUGUUUAAAUUUGAAAUUCAGGAAUCUGGAACAACUCAGUGCUGUGCAGAUGUGUCCAGAUGAACUACUUCAGGUGUUGGAAGCAGGAUAGCUGUGUUAAUGUGGCAUUCUGUCCUGUACAAUUGGCAUAAUACAUUGUCCCCAGUGCAGUACCCCUCAACUACAUUCAUGAUGUUUUAGGCAGAGUGUUGGAGAUUUUGCAGUUGAGUUCGCAUGAGUUAAAAUGAGAAAAACAUUUUCAAGGCAACACCAUUGGAGAGAAAACACAAGAACUGUUCAUUAUUCUUUGAGAAAAUCACUUUCUGGAAAAUGAUGUUUAUGAAAAUGCAAGAGCAGGUCUGCAGAGUUGUUCUACAGUAAAAUAUUGGCUUAACUUUUUCUUUCUUGCUUUUAUAGAAGCCCUUAUACGCGAUACUGUUAUUAUUGGUAAUCAUAUUGAAAGAUCUUUUCUUAUUCCUCUUUCUUAUUUACAUGAACACAAGCAUGUGUAAUGAAACUCACAGCAAAAUUUUGUGUAUAUGUACAGUUAAUUCACUAGAAUUAUGCACUGCAGAAUUACUGAGCCUCCAUACACAGUAUUAUUACAAUACCCACAACAUUUUUGUCUGAGCACCACUGGACCGUGUGACUCUUGUUCCAGAAAUGCCUUAGCUUUAGAGAAAUCUCAAUCUGUUCUGCUGUGUCUCUGUUCAGAGCUGUAUUGAGCUCACCUGUCACCUGGAGAAGUGGAGAGUGAGAAAACAGCCACAGAUACAGGUGCUGCAAGAGGCACCUAUAUGGUGUGAGGCAUAAGACAGGAAGGGAGAGUGAGAGAGUCACAGUGAGGUUCGAUCCAGAAAGACGAGGCUGUUCAUACAAAGAUUAUCUUUGUUUUCAAGGAGGGAUCAUUUCUUUCAACCAUUGCUGUGUAAAGUUUUAAUAGGUACUUCUAAAUCUAGCUGCCUGGGAGAGACUGUCAGACCUAAAAGGCAACAUAUACUCUCAUAUGAAGAUGAUAUAAAAUAGAAAUGUAUUUAUCAUGUCACAAUAACAUUCUAAGAGUAAGGAAAAAAUAAUGUACAUUAGGAUGUGAGUGAUUGUGUAUGGAUACACAGAAGUAGUAAAACUAUGUUGGAUGAUUGUCCAUCCUUUUUAAGGCAGCUUUUCUGUUGUUUUUAUGCAAAUUUUGCUGAUGGCCUUAAACAGAUACUCUAGAGUAACUUUUAAAAAGCUAAUGCUAUAAUGUUCCUAUUCCUUAGUUUCCAUGAGAGGAAGGACAGAUGCUUGCACUCCAUAAGCUUUUUACAAUAUGCCUUAUAUAACAAAUAGGUCUCCUUAAAAAGACCCCUCAGGACAAGCCAUGAAAAUAUUACAAGCUCAAUUUCAGUAACCUUCUCUGCAUGUUAAUAGAAUUGAUGCAGCAAUUCACUCCAGAAACAUCUCACUUUUGCCUAGGUUUUUUGUUGGAACCUUCAUAUCUCUAUUUAAUUCUCAAAGAAAUAGAUUCCAAUCAGGACAGCAUAUUGAAAGCACUAGUUUCAUAUACCCAGUGGUUAAGUGAUUCUUUAAGUGGGGGCACACAUUCUUAAAGGUUUCCAUCUGUUUGUGCUUAUUUUGCAAGAAGAAAAACUACUGAAUUCCAGUUCAUAUGCUUUUGUAGAAGUGCCUCAGAGCACUCUAACCCCUGGUUUAAAAAAUCACCCAAUCACUUCCAUUAUAUUAUUUAAAUUAAAUUAAAUGCACUGUAAACAGUAAAAAUCUAAACAACUGUAGGAAAAUUUAUGGAAAAGUAAAGCAGCUUCUUAGCUACAUUACAGUGAAGCUUUCCAGAAACAGUCUUUUUGGACACAGAUAUCUUCUAAUCAGUUUGAAGCACUGCUCUUCUACUUGCAUUCCGUAAGUGUUAAUGCACAUUUGGCAGUCUCCUGUACUGACCUCUUCAAAACAGGUGAAGGCCCUAUGACAAAGCAAAGAAGGACUGGUUUAUUUUAAGUUUCUCUCUUACUAUCUAUUACACUGUUACAUUAAAAGGUUUGAAUUUUAAUUUAUUACCUGAAUUCUACUAAAAUUAGUAUUAGCUUUAGAAGAGGAAAAUUCUAUAUAAAUUUUUGGUUUUCAAAAGAAACAUACUUUUCUUUUAUCACUUCAAGACACCAUCCAAUAAGCAUCCUAUGGGUUUAAGAAGCAACUGUUACCCCAGCGCAUAUUACAGGAGUGGGGACUGCUGCCUCUUCUAGCAUAAUCUUAGGUACUACUUCACCCUGGCUAACAUACGUGGCAUGUAAAUUGCAGGAAUCUAUACUGAGGAAUCUAUGCAGCAGGAAUUUAUGCUGAGAUGCUCAACUCUCAGGAAUUCUGCUGUCCUUAGAAACUUGGCCAGGGGCAGGAGAGAGUUUUCUGAUCAUUUUUUCCUGCCAUUGCUCCAUGAUCCAAAUGCUAGAGUUCCACUACAGUGUUAUGCUCACUGCAGCUAUAUAUUUAUUUUUUGAUUGUCAUGGAGCACGUGUACAAGCUUCUCUUAAUAACACAAAAAUGUGUUGUUAACAUACAGCUUUGAAAUAGGUGAAAGUGUGUCUAAAAGAAAGCAAAAUUAAGAGUUAAAAUGUGAUAUUAUUGUCAGGAGUGUGUUGUUUCUUGAAGACUAACUAGUAAAUUAUAAUGGAAGCAUUAUUUUAGCUUGUUAGUCACCCAUCUGUGCACAACCAUGGUAUAGAACAUAUGAACAAAAAAUAGUCCAUGUAUUGUCAACAGUAGCAGUAGUGUUCUCUCUUUUUAGUACUAAAAAUGUAUUAAAAUAGUAAAAUACUUUAUUUUUACUUUUUAUUUUUUUGGAUGGGAAGCUUAAUUCAUAGAAAACCGUAAGGAGAAAAACAGGUAAUCUUAAACACUAUUGAUGAGUUUAUAGUCAAGAGAUGCAUGCACCUUUAAGAAGGCGAAUGAUGCAGGGGAAGUUAGAGAAUUUUUCUGGCUAUAAGGAAAUUCUUAGUUUGGUUAAAUUUGGUUUUAGUGAAGGCAGUAUAACUGAUAAAAAUCAGUGGUUAAAACGAAAAGUGGUCUGUAGUUCAUGAAAUAGGUUGUUCAGAGGAGUAAGUCCCUGCCAUCUAGUCUAUGAGGUACAUACAGUGGAAGAUGUAAAACCCCUUCUUUGUCCAAGUUCUUGGCUGUGCUAGUUUAGUGGUGUCUCCAGUUCUGGAUAUUUAAGAAUAAAAUCUGAAAAUGAAGACGUAAACUUGAAUUCCAUAUGUGGCUGUGCUGCUGACAGGCCCCUGUGAUAUCUUUGUUGGAAGAUAGUUGUACAUAUGUUCUCCCUCCAUUUUUUCUUUGUUUAAGAGUCUGUCAGACCAUCUAAUUAAUUUGCUUUGUAUUUAGUAGUAUUAUCUUUUGUUUACAAUGGCUUUUCUUCACAUCCUCUGCAGGGCUAAGAUGUCAGGGUGCUAUGGAUUUACCAUGCAUUUUUAAUGCUGCCAUGCUGUGUUUAACUUUCACUUUUCAUUAAGCAUCAAAACUGUGAGAAUUAAAAGCCUGCUUUUGAUGUUCCAAUAAAAAACCGACAGUCAAAUUUGGCAUAAGAGCAGCAAAAAUGAUUUAUUUUUUUUAAUCCAAUUUGACACCAAAUACCCCAAAUUAUUAGCUAUGAGGGUAGCAAUAAUUUUAGCAGAAAUGCUCUAAAAGGCAGGUAAAAAAUAGGAAUCUUUGCCAUUAGUAAAUCAACUUUCUGAAGUUUGGUUUGGAGAGCAAUUUAACUUCUUUUAUUGAGAUUAGUAGGUUUUUCACUCUAAUAUCUGAGAACCGUGUCUAAAUUCCCACGACAUGGUCUGAAAAGUCAGAAGACGAUUGCAAAUACACAACACCUUUCUAUUGUUACAGAUAUGCUAAAAUAAUUUUGUAAGCCUCUCCACUUCUUUAAAGUGGAAGUUUAUAAAAGUCUAUAAAGUUCAGAAUUUAAGGGUAUGAAGCACAGGAAAGUAGUGGAUUUGAUCGUAAUGAAGUUAGGAAAAAUAAGUUUUCAUUAUAUAUAUAUAUAUUUUUUUUUACUAACUAUUUCACUUUUACUAUAGGCUUCAUAGUGCAUACGUGUGUGUGUUUAUAUGUACUGGAAUCUAGCAGACCUUUUACUGAUUAAAUUUGAAGAGGAAGGAACUAGGGGGAGUGGUGCAUGUCAGGAUUAAUGACUUCCAAACUGUAUUUCCAUGCACCCCGUUGAAGUGUUCUUUAUCCAUAAUAAUGUGAUCUUGUGCAUGUUUUCUGUUCCAUUUCUGUAUGCCAUUUAUAACUGCUUCUUCUCCCUUGGCAUCUGAACACACGCUUUAUUAGUGUAAAAAUUGCAUUAUACCAUGCAUCAUAUUUGAUUUUGACAAAUUUUAGAAUUCUAAGGGGAUGUUUAUUCAAGUGCCAAAGAACUUGAAGAAAUCAAUGGCAUAUUAAAUUAGGGAUCUUCAUAGUUAACUGAAUGAGCUUCUGGAGCAGUUUAUUUCGACAGGUUCUCUUUCAAGCAUUUUUCCAGUUACUUCAGUUAGUAUGAUUGGCCAGUUUGGGCUUCUUCAUAGUUUCAUGGAAAUAAAAGCACUUGAAGGGUUGUUUAAGAUUAUGCUUGGCCAUCCAAUUUAGGAUAACGUUUUUUAGUAUCCCAGUUAAAUCUAAAUUACCAGUUCUCUGAUGACGUUUGUUACUUUCCUCAGUUUUCUUAUUUCUCCUAAUCAUCAGUCCAAGCACUUAUGUCAUAACUCAGUGCCAUCUUACAGCAUGUGAAGUUCAGAUGAUGUCAAUACUACCAUGUGGAGACAGAUGGACAGUACUUGGAGCCCCAUGAAAAGGGAGGGAGGCAUUCCUAGGCUCAUCUCAUCUCUGUAUCUUCCUCAUCUCCUAUCCUUUGGGUUCUGUAAACUUCCUGAAGGUUUGGAGGUAGUAUAAAUACCUAUUCUUGCUUGGGCUUCAGAUCAUUUCAAAUGUACACCCAUGUCUUCAUCUCAGUUUCUUGACAGCAUGCAACUUCUUGCUAUACUGAUUAAAAUAUACUUCAGGCCUUUGUCAGCAGCUGUGGCACAUUUAUGAGCAGCUUGUAUGGAAUAAAGUUUUUUUUUUUUUUUUUGAAAAAGUAAUUUUUGAUGCUAUUUCUUUGUAAAUCCAUUUUCUUGCAUCAAUUUGUAAAAUUGCAAAUCAUAGCAUUUUAGUUAAAACUGCAUGACUUCGUGUGAAUUACAUUAGAAGCUUGAGGCCUACCAUUAGAAAAAUGGGUUAAGUGACUUCUUCCAUAUCCUCUUUUAUUAUGUAUCAUUAGCAAGCACCAAAUUCUGCUUGCAGUUAUACAGAUACAAUGGGAGUGAGAUGGCUCUCCACUGAUUUAAAAUAUGAUGUAUCUAGAUAACUAAAAAUACGUAUACAAUUCAGUGUACAAAGAUAGUGUCACUGCUCUGUUAUAUCAGAAUUGUAAUAUGUACUUAGGAGAACGUAGCACUUUUCAUUCUUUGCUUUUUGGCUUAGGUGGACAGUGAGUCCAUUUAGAUUUGGCAAGUUGGUUACAAAAUAACAUUGAAAAGCCUGAAGGCUAUGAUAGUUGGCUUGAAAAUCAGACUUUUUUAAUUUUUUUAUUUUUUCUGAAUGGGAAGAAAUACAUAUACUUUAGAAAAUGUAAACUACUUUUACUGGUUGAAAUUCUUUUGAUGUGUCAGUUGCAUUCAGUUUGUUUGUAUUAACUGUGAUUUUGUCUGAAUAACGUUGUUCUUAGUUUUUGUCAUUGGCAUUCUAGAGACCUCUUGGAUAUUGAUUAGUAAAUACAACAUUCAUAGCUAAAUGUCUGAAGCCUUCAAUUUUCGGGACUAAAAGUAUGUUGUAUGUGAAAUUAAUUUACUGGUAUUGUGUAUUUAUUUUUUAUUUGACAAGACUAUUAGUCUCAAAAUGUUCAGUUCUGUAUCUGCAAAUGCAAACAUCAAUUAGUGUAACAAAUAUGGACCUUACGUUGAUGGAUUUUACAUGGUUUGGGUUUGCAUAACAUGAUUGUUUUGUGUGAAUUUUUCCUCUAUUCAAAGCUCUGGCAAUUUCACAUUAUCUGAAAAAAA